AGGGGGACAACAGUUGGAAACGACUGCUAAUACCGCAUACGAUCUGACCUCGGCAUCGAGGAUGGAUGAAGGGUGGCCUCUAUUUAUAAGCUAUCACUGAAGGAGGGGAUUGCGUCUGAUUAGCUAGUUGGAGGGGUAACGGCCCACCAAGGCGAUGAUCAGUAGCCGGUCUGAGAGGAUGAACGGCCACAUUGGGACUGAGACACGGCCCAG
rnacentral:rRNA from 1 species